AAUAGCCCAAAAGGUCCCUCAUACCAAAACAGAUACGUCCACCCCAACAACCUUUUUCCCAUCCACACAGACUCUCCGGCAACUCAUGUCCACCGCCAGCGCCAGCGCCAGCGCCACCGAGUCCCAACCACAACCACAACAACCGUUAAUUCCAUCUCUCCCAGACGACUUGGGCUUGAACAUCCUAGCUCGAAUACCCCGGUGCCACCACCCAACACUGUCCAUAGUCUCAAAACCCAUCCACUCCCUCCUCUCCUCCCCUCUCUUCUUCGCCACUCGAUCUCUCCUCCACUCCUCUCAACCCCUCCUCUACCUUUCUCUCCGCUCCUCUGUCUCCUCUUCUCUCCUCUGGUUCUGCCUCGGCUCCAAUUCCAAUUCCUCUCACUCCCUCUUCCCAGUCCCACCUAUCCCCUCUACUUCCACCGUUGGCUCCUCAAUCGCCUCACUGGGCCCCUCUAUCUAUGUAAUUGGUGGCUCCACCAACGAUGUUCCCACAUCCCAUGUCUGGAUUCUAGAUUGUCGUUUCAACAUAUGGCGACCCGGCCCCAACAUGCGGGUCGCCCGCGAGUUUUCCGCUGCGGGUGUUGUGGAUGAAAACAUCUACGUCAUGGGUGGGUGUGUUACUGAUUCGUGGGCCAAGUCGGCCCAUUGGGCCGAGCGGUUUGACCCGAAGGUCCAGAAAUGGGAACGGGUCGAGAGCCCGGUUCUGAUCCGGGACAAGUGGAUGCACGCGAGUGCGGUGAUGGAUGGGAAGGUCUACGCGAUGGCGGAUAGAGGGGGGAUUGUGUACGACGCGAGAGAGAGCGCGUGGGGGCGCGUGGAGGGGGAACUGGAUUUCGGGUGGAGGGGGAGAGCGUGCGUUGUGGGUGGGGUUUUGUAUUGCUACGAUUAUUUGGGGAAGAUACGUGGGUUUCACGCGCGGGAGGGCGCGUGGAGGGAGGUUAAGGGGUUGGAGGGCGGGCUUUCGAGGUUUCUUUGCGGUGCCACGAUGGCGAAUUUGGGAGGGAAGUUGGUUGUACUUUGGGAGGAGAAAGGGAAGAGAGAGAUGGAAAUUUGGUGUGCAGAGAUUGGUGUGGAGAUGAGGGAGAGUGGAGAGUUGUGGGGGCAAAUUGGGUGGGUUGAGAAGGUCAGAACCGUGCCCCGUGGAUCCUCCAUCGUGCAUUGCGUGGCCGUUGAGGUGUGAUGUUUAAGCUCAAGCUGGAUGUGGGAACUGAAUCCCUCUGCAUGGGACUAGGCAAGGAGCUCAUGAUUCUAGCGUGCUCUAUUGGUUUCAGCAAUCUGAGGGAAAUCUUGGAAAAAGCUCCUUUCAGUUAGUGUCAGGUGCUUACUUAUUGUCUAAACUGCUCUUUAUAAGGAAAUCUUCUUGUGAUGAAUGGGUUUGGAGCAGAAAUUUUGUGAUCAGCAUUUUGUCAACUGUAGAUGAAUUUACAGGAUCUGCAGCAAAAGAUUCCUGAUGUUGAGUGCGAGUUUGUGCUGCAUCCUAACUGUACCAACUAUCCAUUUUCUCUCAAAUAAUCAAGCAUCUUGCAAGUUGCACUAUGUUUCCAGUUUCCACUAUGAGGAUUAUCCCUCGGUGCGGUGGCAAAUGCACCUUCCACCAAAAGCGACGUGUCAUGGGUUCAAGUACGGAAAUCAGCCUCUCCAUAAAUUGGAAAGUAGUGCUGCCUACGAAUCAGUUCUUCUAUACCCCGCAAAAGCAAAAGCUCUGAGAAUUGGGAUGUAAUUCGUCUCCCAUCACAAACUGGUGCACAACGAAGCCCAUCUCUAUAGAGCUCCAACCAUAUUGUUUCUUAGCUUUCUUGUGUUUCAUUUGGCUCCUAAUCUUGCUCACACUUGACCAUCUACCUAGAGAAGCAUAAACAUUGGACACAAGCACAAAAUUCUCAGCACUAUGAGGCUCUAGCUCAAGUACCUCUCUAGUUAUAAUCUCAUUGAGUUCUUUAUAUCCAUGAGUCUUGCAUGCACCAAGCAAUGUUCGCCAGAGAACUGCAUUAGGCUUAAUGGGCAUCUUUUGAAUAAACUUAUGUGCUCGAAGCACAAGUCCUGCACGACAAAAUAGAUCAACCAUGCAUCCAUAAUGCUCAAUUUGGGGAGUGAUUCCAUAAUCCAAAGACAUGCUAUUGAAAUAUUGACAACCUUCCUUGACCAAGCCAGAGUGGCUACAUGCACACAACACACAAGUGAAAGUAACAGAAUUGGGUCUUACAUUGGCACUUUUCAUGGCAUGAAACACUUUUAUAGCUUUCUCACCAAACCCGUGUAUGGCACACCCUCCAAUCAUGGUAGACCAUGCCAUGACAUCCCUCUUAGACAUGCCUUCAAAGACCCUAAUUGCAUUAUCCAAACUCCCACAUUUUGAGUACAUGUCCACCAGUGAAGUUCCCAAAACAAUAUCAAUAUCAAUACCUUCUUUAUCAAUAUAAGAAUGCACCCAUUUGCCCAAAUCAAGAGCACCCAUAUCUCCACAAGCCCCAACAACACUAGCUAAAGUAAAUUCAUCAGCUUUCACAUUCUGAGCUUGCAUCUGUUUAAACAAAACCAAGGCCUCAUUAGAACACCCAUUUUGCACGUACCCAGAAACCAUGGUGCUCCACGAAACCAAGUCUCGUUCAGACAUUUCGUCGAACAGGUCGCGUGCUUCGUCAACGCGCCCGCACGUGGUAUACAAUUUGAUCAGACCGUUAACCACAUGGGUUUCGUAGUCUAAACCCAUUUUCAAAACCUGUGAAUGGACCAUUUUGCCCUCUUCAAGUCUUGGUAAAUUAUAACACGCCUUGAGAACAAACCCGAAAGUGAAACUGUUUGAUGAAAUGCCACUGAGGUGCAUGUCUUUGUAAAGAGCGAUGGCCUUGAGCGAUGACGAGUCAUUUAUGGAGUAGCCUCUGAUGAUGGUGUUCCACAUGAAGAGGUUGGGCUGGUGGGUCCAUGAAAAUAGUUUAUAGGCGUGUGCAAUCUGUCUAAUUGGUAAAGUGAUGGCAUAAGACUCAAUCAACUUGCUAAGCAGGAAGCUAUCUUGUGUAAAAUUGGUUCGGAUCACGUAGGCUUGGAUGGUCUCAAGGUCUCGAACCGUAGCGCAUCGCUUGAUUGCAGCGACAAGCGUGCCUUGGUCCAUCAUGGGCUUCAUCCUAGUGCAUGUCAUUCUUCUCUAAGCAAAUGGCUGCUUUGUGCACAUGAGGUAGGUCCAUGGGCAACAGGCAAGCCUGACUCUGAACUCUGCACUCUGAUCUCAGAUCUCCAAAGCAACGUGGUUCAGUUAGCACUUCACACAUCUGGGGCCAUGUUUUUGCAAAUUGUCCAGCUCUGAAGGUGUCUUCCAAACAGCUGUUGGUACCAGAAAGCAUCUUCUCAUACCUAUUCAUCAGAUAUAUACAAGUGUGGGGUUAUACACGAUUGUGAGGUCUACGCACAAUGAGAGCAAGAAUGCAUAUAUUCUAUGCACGAGAUAAUUAUUGCACUGGUACAACCCUAUUAACUCUCGCAUCGAUUAUUACCCUGUCCGAAGCUUUGUAAAAUAUCUGUUAAGCAAACGAGAAAUUUAGCAGCUAUUACCGACAAUCCUGCUCAAACUUAAAAACUAUGGUGUUUUGAGAUGGGAUACAAUUACUUAUUUUCUAUGAAAUGUGUAGGUAAUUUGAA